rnacentral:tRNA from 1 species
GGAGGCGUGCCGGAGCGGUUUAACGGGCUGGUCUCGAAAACCAUGCGGGGUUUACCCCACGGAGGUUCGAAUCCUCCCGCCUCCGCCA